UAUCUAUUUAUUUAAAAGAAGUUGCAUGCUAUUGCUGAAACUGUCAUCUGGCUUGUUGCUGCCAAAUUGAGUGUGGCCCUGUUGUUUGUGAAGACUUCAUACGAUAACAGUGAGGCUAGAACUAAGGCAUCUUUACUUUUCCCAUUGUACAUCACUCCUUUGAAGAAGUUUCAACUCCAAUUAAUGACACGGUCUGCAUCAAGAUUUGUAAGCAGUAGAAAGACGUAAGGAAUAACGAAUGAAUUGAUGUCUUUUCCCCUAAGAAAUAUCAGCUGUACUGUGUACAAGGAGUUAGGAGGAGAUUUAACCAGGACAGCUGACCCAAACUGGCCAAAGAGAUAUCCAAUACCAAAUGGCAAUGCACUCAGCAAUAAAAGCUGGGACAAGGAAAGAGGAAGGGAUGAAAUGUUGGAAUUGAUGAUAUUUGUCUUCCCAAGUAACUCUUAGGUAUGAUGGGCCUUGCUUCCCUGGAAGUGGCUGAACAUCUGCCAGCUGAUGGAAGUAGUGAAUGAAUUCAUUGUUUUGCUUUGCUUGCAUGCAUAGCUUUUGUAUUGCCUAGUAAACGAUCUUUGUCUCAACCCAUGAGUUCUCACACUUCAAGCUUUUCUGGUUCUCUUCUUCAUCCUAUUUGGGUAAAGUGAGC
rnacentral:lncRNA from 1 species